UGCUCUUCGGAUCUCCAGUUGCUGACAUCCUUUUCAGUCCUGAGUAUUGCUUUAAAAGAGACAGUUUUUUUUUAAUAUGGGCUAUUUGCUAGAACCCCCUAAAAUCGAUUCUUAUUUUAGUUUGAAUUUCUUUGCUCACUAGCAAGGUUGAAUGCUUUUUCUUUUUUAUUUGGCAGUCUGUAGUUCUUGUGUGAACUGCUGUUUGGCUCUUGGUAAUUAGAGACCGCGUUAAACAUCUUUGUUCCUGCCCUGAAUUGCUGAGGCACAGUCAUGACGGUUCAUUAAGCUGUGUUGAGUCAUCUUGGAUCAGAUCUUUAAACCGGUCAUUUGUCCACCAAUAAACGUGUGUGGAAUAAAUGCUCAGUGAGUCACAAUGCGGUCGUUGGAUGGCUGUAGGGCCAAGAGCUAACGGCCACCCUCCCCAGGAGUGGCAGGACAUUACUUCAUCUGCUCCUCCGCUCACCCACCACUCUGCCCCGCAUCCUUUUCAAGUGUGCUGGGCUGUGCUUUAGGCUUUUAGUUCCUGCGCUCAAGAACUUUGGUCUGAAGGAGAGGAGUUCACGAUACAGUGUUAAUUUGGAAACCCUUCAGCACACCAGUCCAUCUUAAGAGGAUGCAUUUGACCCAUAGA